UGGGGAAUAUUGCACAAUGGGGGAAACCCUGAUGCAGCGACGCCGCGUGAACGAAGAAGGUAUUCGUAUCGUAAAGUUCUUUCCUAUGGGAAGAUAAUGACAGUACCAUAGAAUAAAGCUCCGGCUAAAUACGUGCCAGCAGCCGCGGUAAUACGUAUGGAGCGAGCGUUGUCCGGAAUUAUUGGGCGUAAAGGGUACGCAGGCGGUUUAAUAAGUCGAAUGUUAAAGAUCUGGGCUCAACCCCGCAAAGCAUUGGAAACUGAUAAACUUGAGUAGUGGAGAGGAAAGUGGAAUUCCUAGUGUAGUGGUGAAAUACGUAGAUAUUAGGAAGAAUACCAGUCGCGAAGGCGACUUUCUGGACACAAACUGAAGCUGAGGUACGAAAGGGUGGGGAGCAAACAGG
rnacentral:rRNA from 1 species